rnacentral:lncRNA from 1 species
AUGUACACCGAAGAAGGCACCUCCUUCCUGGACUCCGCUUCCUGCAGGGGGCCACAGUGUAUGCAUGAGGUGAGCAACCUCAAGCCAUUGCAUCCAGCUCUCACCUCCACUCCCCUUUGCUCCUUCAAACACCCCUGCAGAAGAGAGAAUAACUGCGUGCACUGCAGCCAGACCAGCAGGUCUGUCUCAGUACCCUACACGGCUGCAGACAAGUCAAAUCGGAGCUCAGAAGGGGCCGCUGUUUGCAGGACCCCAACGCCAACUCAAGACCAGAUCCAGGCACUGCUCAGGGGUGCUCCAAUAACACCAACACCCCUGAAGAUCAAUGAGCUACAAAAUGAGGCGGAGCAGGUCUCAGAGUGUUCAGGCAGGAUGAUGAAUUUGAUGAUGGACGAAAACAUAAAUGAAGACGGUCAGAAGUCCAGCAGUUCCUCACAGGUUCUGAGGGAGAAUCAGCUGCUGCAGGUUGAGAGAGGCUCGGCACAUCUCUGUGAGGAGCUGGACUGCUUUCCUCUGGAUGGGCUGGUGGGGGUGUGGUGGUGCGAGCAACCUGUCACCCGUUUGGACUGUUCCUUGGCUCACCAGAAGUCAGAGGGCUCAGGAGAGGGUGGAGAUCAGCUGGGAGGAGCCACAGUCAGCCUGCACAGCAGAAGAAAAGAAAAGGUGAGCCCACCUGUCCGACUGAAUGAUGUAGCUCACCUGUGAGAUCAGCUGAGAUGAUACUCCAAUCAGGAGUUCUCUCUUCUUCCUCUCAAACGGAAUUUCUGCAGCCUCGUGCGAUUCGAUUAAUUGAUUUCUUGAGCAGUUUGAAACUUGCACUUUAUUCCUUUCAUGAAACUUUUACAGGUGUUCUUGCUUAUUUAGUAAUUUAUUAGUCACUAUGUUUAUUUGAAAUAACAUUGUGUACAAUUUAACUUAUUUUUUUGAUGAUUAAUUUCUUGAGAAGCACGAAGCAUUCCAGUAAUUUGUGUGUUGUUGUUGAAUCAAAUACGGUAACACAGUUUCUUUCUUGUGGAAAACUCAGAAAUUUCUAACUGUUGCAGUUUGCAUCAGAAUUGAUCAGUUUUACACUUUUGACCAAGAACCAGACAUGAGACACAAAUAACCUUUUAUCACAGGCUGAACUCUGUGUUACUUUGCUGCCUUGUGUUUUAUUUUUCGUGUGUUUGAACUGCAGAACUGCACAUGAGAUUAUUUUAUCUUUGACUGACAGGAUGCUGUGAGAAUAAAUUACUGGGUUAAAUGUUUUAAAUUAAACUGUCAGAAAUAAAUUGUUAGCAGUAAACUUGUCGAAAUUAAGUGACAUAAUAAACUUGUCUGGUCAUGUCAUGAUUUGGACCCUGGUUCUUUGAUUUGUUUUCUUUAUUUGAUUUGAGGUUUGAUUUUUUUUUUUUUGUGAGUGUAUAUCCUUUUAGUAGCUAUCAGCUGUUUGCAUUGGUGUCUGUGUUUAAGGAGCUGUUCUUCUUUAUGUUUUGUUUUUUUUUUUUUUGUAAAAAAAAAAG